AAACUUUUAGUAUAUUUUUUUAUGUAUUUUUAAUUGCAAAUUAGAAGGUUGAAAAGUUUU
rnacentral:tRNA from 2 species